GGAUGAACGCUGGCGGCGUGCCUAAUACAUGCAAGUCGAGCGAACAGACGAGGAGCUUGCUCCUUUGACGUUAGCGGCGGACGGGUGAGUAACACGUAGGUAACCUACCUAUAAGACUGGGAUAACUUCGGGAAACCGGAGCUAAUACCGGAUAAUAUUUCGAACCGCAUGGUUCGAUAGUGAAAGAUGGCUUUGCUAUCACUUAUAGAUGGACCUGCGCCGUAUUAGCUAGUUGGUAAGGUAACGGCUUACCAAGGCAACGAUACGUAGCCGACCUGAGAGGGUGAUCGGCCACACUGGAACUGAGACACGGUCCAGACUCCUACGGGAGGCAGCAGUAGGGAAUCUUCCGCAAUGGGCGAAAGCCUGACGGAGCAACGCCGCGUGAGUGAUGAAGGUCUUCGGAUCGUAAAACUCUGUUAUUAGGGAAGAACAAACGUGUAAGUAACUGUGCACGUCUUGACGGUACCUAAUCAGAAAGCCACGGCUAACUACGUG
rnacentral:rRNA from 1 species